AACGAACGUUAGCGGCGCGCUUAACACAUGCAAGUCGCACGAGAAAGGGAGGUUCGCCUCCCCAGUAAAGUGGCGCACGGGUGAGUAACACGUGGGUAACCUACCCCUGGGUGGGGGAUAACGUUCCGAAAGGAGCGCUAAUACCGCAUGAGACCACGUCCUGAAACGGAUGAGGUCAAAGCGGGCCUCUGCAUGCAAGCUCGCGCCUGGGGAUGGGCCCGCGGCCCAUCAGGUAGUUGGUGGGGUAACGGCCUACCAAGCCUAAGACGGGUAGCUGGUCUGAGAGGAUGAUCAGCCACAACUGGAACUGAGACACGGUCCAGACUCCUACGGGAGGCAGCAGUGGGGAAUCUUGCGCAAUGGGCGAAAGCCUGACGCAGCGACGCCGCGUGAGUGAUGAAGGCCUUAGGGUUGUAAAGCUCUGUGGAGAGGGACGAAUAAGGCAUGGCGAAUAUCCAUGUUGAUGACG
rnacentral:rRNA from 1 species